rnacentral:rRNA from 1 species
UGGGGAAUUUUGGACAAUGGGGGAAACCCUGAUCCAGCCAUCCCGCGUGUGCGAUGAAGGCCUUCGGGUUGUAAAGCACUUUUGGCAGGAAAGAAACGUCGCGGGUUAAUACCCCGCGAAACUGACGGUACCUGCAGAAUAAGCACCGGCUAACUACGUGCCAGCAGCCGCGGUAAUACGUAGGGUGCAAGCGUUAAUCGGAAUUACUGGGCGUAAAGCGUGCGCAGGCGGUUCGGAAAGAAAGAUGUGAAAUCCCAGAGCUUAACUUUGGAACUGCAUUUUUAACUACCGGGCUAGAGUGUGUCAGAGGGAGGUGGAAUUCCGCGUGUAGCAGUGAAAUGCGUAGAUAUGCGGAGGAACACCGAUGGCGAAGGCAGCCUCCUGGGAUAACACUGACGCUCAUGCACGAAAAGCGUGGGGAGCAAACAGGAUUAGAUACCCUGGUAGUCCACGCCCUAAACGAUGUCAACUAGCUGUUGGGGGCCUUCGGGCCUUGGUAGCGCAGCUAACGCGUGAAGUUGACCGCCUGGGGGAGUACGGUC